rnacentral:rRNA from 1 species
AUGCUCUCCCUGCUACUCAUGGUACCAGCGAUGGUGCUCUUCUUCCUGCGCGCCGCCGGCAGUGGCAGCGAGGUCAAGAAUGAUGUGGAGGGUCGCGUCCGUCGGUGGCCGCUAAUCUGGCACGCGUCUGUGGCGUUCUUCCACUUGGCGCUCUUGGUGGGACUCAUCGGGCUCGUUCUUCAAAUCUGUGGCGGGUCUCAAGAGGUUUCUUACCUUCUCCGCAUUGCGGCUGUGCUGUGCAAGCUCCUACUCACCGUGCUCUUCUGCAUCCGUGCUGCUGUGGCGCUGUGGAGGAUGAAUCCUCAACAGCCGGCCGCAGUUGGUGCUGCGGUAGUGUGA